CGCACAUUGCGCCCGCCAGCAUUCUGGCGGGCAUGCCUGUCCGAGCGUCAUUUCAACCCUCAGGCUCCCGCGCCUGGCGUUGGGGAUCGGCCUUCACCGGCCGGCCCCGAAAUACAGUGGCGGCCCCGCCGUAGACCUCCUCUGCGUAGUAGCACACACCUCGCAGCCUGGGAGCGCGGCGGCGGCCACGCCGGAAAACCCCCGACUUCUGAAAGUUGACCUCGGAUCAGGUAGGAAUACCCGCUGAACUUAAGCAUAUCAAUAAGCGGAGGAAAAGAAACCAACAGGGAUUGCCUCAGUAACGGCGAGUGAAGCGGCAACAGCUCAAAUUUGAAAUCUGGCCCCCCGGCCCGAGUUGUAAUUUGCAGAGGAUGCUUUUGGCGAGGUGCCUUCCGAGUUCCCUGGAACGGGACGCCAUAGAGGGUGAGAGCCCCGUCUGGUCGGACACCGAGCCUCUGUAAAGCUCCUUCGACGAGUCGAGUAGUUUGGGAAUGCUGCUCAAAAUGGGAGGUAUAUGUCUUCUAAAGCUAAAUACCGGCCAGAGACCGAUAGCGCACAAGUAGAGUGAUCGAAAGAUGAAAAGCACUUUGAAAAGAGAGUUAAAUAGCACGUGAAAUUGUUGAAAGGGAAGCGUUUAUGACCAGACUUGGCCCGGUUGAUCAUCCAGCGUUCUCGCUGGUGCACUCUGCCGGUCCAGGCCAGCAUCAGUUCGCCGCGGGGGAAAAAGGCUUCGGGAAUGUGGCUCCCUCCGGGGAGUGUUAUAGCCCGUUGCGUAAUACCCUGCGGUGGACUGAGGUCCGCGCUCUGCAAGGAUGCUGGCGUAAUGGUCAUCAACGACCCGUCUUGAAACACGGACCAAGGAGUCGUCUUCGUAUGCGAGUGUUCGGGUGCAAAACCCCUACGCGUAAUGAAAGUGAACGCAGGUGAGAGCUUCGGCGCAUCAUCGACCGAUCCUGAUGUUCUCGGAUGGAUUUGAGUAAGAGCAUACGGGGCCGGACCCGAAAGAAGGUGAACUAUGCCUGUAUAGGGUGAAGCCAGAGGAAACUCUGGUGGAGGCUCGCAGCGGUUCUGACGUGCAAAUCGAUCGUCAAAU
rnacentral:rRNA from 1 species